GACGAACGCUGGCGGCGUGCUUAACACAUGCAAGUCGAACGCUGAAGCUCAGCUUUUGUUGGGUGGAUGAGUGGCGAACGGGUGAGUAACACGUGAGUAACCUGCCCCCUUCUUUGGGAUAACGCCCGGAAACGGGUGCUAAUACUGGAUAUUCACUGGUCUUCGCAUGGGGGUUGGUGGAAAGGGUUUUUCUGGUUGGGGAUGGGCUCGCGGCCUAUCAGCUUGUUGGUGGGGUGAUGGCCUACCAAGGCUUUGACGGGUAGCCGGCCUGAGAGGUUGACCGGUCACAUUGGGACUGAGAUACGGCCCAGACUCGUACGGGAGGCAGCAGUGGGGAAUAUUGCACAAUGGGCGCAAGCCUGAUGCAGCGACGCCGCGUGAGGGAUGGAGGCCUUCGGGUUGUGAACCUCUUUCGCUCAUGGUCAAGCCGCAACAAUGGUUGUGGUGAGGGUAGUGGGUAAAGAAGCGCCGGCUAACUACGUG
rnacentral:rRNA from 1 species